UAUGUUGAAUCAAUUGAAUCAAAUAUGGUUAACUUUUUUUUGCUUCUAUUGGAGAAUCGUUUAGAGUGAACAAAAUAUAAGAAUAUAAUUCAAAUUUUUUAGGGGGGAUAAUUAGAAAAAAGAUUUAAACGACGGACUCUGGUAGAGUUUUUGAUGACAUUCAAAAUACUUUUUGUUUGAACUUUCUACUCUGUCUAUCAGCCGAGAUAUUCUCUGUAUGGAAAAUUUUUGGACUCCCUUCCGUCAACAUACCAUAUCCAUAUCAUAUUUUUGCGAAUUUAUAUUAUCCGCCGCAAGGAGGAUCCAUCGACAUGACGAUAGUACGAUUGUAGAAGGAAGACCUCAAGAAUUUGAUGGAAAGUAUAAAGAACAUGUAGAAGUGUAUAAUACGUACAUAGCAUGGAUAUGAAAAGGAUAUAAUAUGUGUAAAUGUGAAACUCGCAUAUUUCCUCAGACCAGGAGUCUAGGUGAACAUGUUUCACUUUUAUGACCUUUCGAUGACAGUUUGUUUAUUUAGAUUUUCCUUAUCAUCAUAACAUAUAAAAAGUUAUCAUAAGUAGUAUUCAAGAGAUGAAAAGCUUUCAUUUCCGAUUCCUGUUUAUAGAUUCUGAAUUGAUCAUCAAGUUUCUUGAAUAUGUAGAAGAUGUAAACAUAUUCCUUGGAGAAUUCACUGCUCUGCAUAUAGCUGUCAGAAGACAUUUAAUAUUCGUGGUCGAGUAUACUAUAGGAAGAAAUGCAGAAAUCAAUAAGAAGUCUAGCCUGAGCCAGUUCUCAGCUUUACAUGAAGCGGUUAAAUAUGACACAGUGGAUAUAACGAGAAUCCUCCUUCCUGAAUGCCUUCAGAAGCUUUCAUAUUUUUCUGAUAGUCAUGAAGUUAUGUCGGAUUACCUUGGAAAGAUUCAAAAUCUCAUCAAGAUCAGCUUGUCCAGAAUACAGUAUUGGACAAGUCUUGCAGUGAAGAUUUGGAAUAAAAAUUCAUGAAAAAACUACACCAUACAUGUUACUUCGUGGUCGACCUACUGGUAUAUGCCUUUGAGAAAAAAAAUGUUUCGUCUCACCAUAUUGAAGCUCUUUCUACUAUUACUUUUUAAAUGGGUUCUUAGGACUUCUCGAUUUUUCGAAAACCAGGUAAUAUUCCCUUUAAUGAACUUUUGUCUGUAUCGGGAAAUUCAAAACCAUUUAUAGUAAGUAAUUCAUGUACGAAGCUUCAAUCUCUGCUUAGCCAUGAAAGCACUAGCCAUGAAAGCACUACUCUGUAAUCUGUGCAUGAAAGCUUAUUGUUCAACAUAUGCCCGUCGACACUAAGAUCAUUUUCUCCGGCACUAUAGAGAUGUUAUAUCAGCCAUGAAGUAAAAUAUGUAGGUAUUCGUAAUUCAGGAAAAUAAUUUGACACCCAGAAUUGUUUUCUUGGGAAUCCGAACUUAUUAUGACAACAGAUAUAGGUGCUUCAUACAGCACUUCAACAAAAAUCAUUAUAUAACCGAAAACUUCACAGCACUUUCAUCGAAGGAAUUAAAUUUUCAUAAGAGGUUUUAACUUUUUACUUAAUGCAGAACCCAAAUCAAAACCGAUUCUUAUUUGCGUUUCUACAUUCAGAAAACAGAAAAGAGUUUUUCGAGUCAUUUUUUGUCAAAUUAGGUUUAUUAACAUUAUUUUAUUAUAUGUGAAAAAAAUGUUAACAUUUUGACAAAUGGUAAUAUGAUUUGUGGGUAAAAUCGUUCUUCUCUGGAUUGCUUGUUGAAAUUACUGGAGACCUAAAUAAAGUUCUCGUAACCAAACACUUCAUUAUGAUUGUUUCCGUCACCUGCUUGUACUAAUCACACUGAAGUUCCUAGAGUAGUCUCAUUCUGUAAUGAGCAGCUUUGUUCCUAUUUUAUUAUAUACUUCUCGGACGAAAGCAUUUCAUUUUCCGUAACACAGUUUUGGGUUUCUUUUUUAUGAAAGAGAAUAAAAAAUAUGCUACUGAACCUAACAAGGAACUUCAUGAACAAUGCAUGAACUGAAUAAAAAAAGGUAGGUGCGGCUGUUCAAAAGGAAUUAAUUUUCCAAGGAUCAAUUACAUAGAGGAACUCCAUGAUUUGACGAAAUGACAAAAACACUAGUUAAUUUUGAAUCAUAACACAUACCUCAAUUAAUUCAACAGAUUGCACUAUUGAAAUGGAGGAACCUUCGUCGGAGAUUGAUGAAUCAGUAUAGCUUUUUCUAAACAUAUUCUCGGCAGAUAAAUUGAAGUUUAUUCUUGUUUUUUGUUCCAUUAGGCCAAGAGAAUACACGAAUAUAUUGAACAUACGAUGACUAGGGUAGUAGAAUAUUUCGAUGGAUAAAUGGAAAUAUGAAAGUUCAAUGUGAAAAAACAUUUUCUAAGUGUCGUAAUAGUUGGCUGAAAUCGGAUUAAAAAAAAAAAUAAUUCACGAAAUAACUUAUACAUAUCGUUGAAAAAAAUCGUCCCGAAAAUGCUUCUAUCGCUACCCACUGCUUCGAUUCAAUGAAACAUAACGAAAGUUCUAUUUUCAUGACCGCUGUAGAAAAAUUAUAUUAUAGCAUGAAUUCAAACCGAUGUCAUUUUCAAAUCAGAUUACUCAUGAUUCAUGAAAGGAGAUGUAAAUUCAAAAAUGAAAUUUGUGGACAGACAGGCUUUCAGACACGGCAGAAAGUCCAGACAAAAAGUAUUUUAAAUUUUAUCAAAAAAAAAAAAAAUCUCGUUUCUUAUUGCCACCCCUAAAAAAUACCCCCAGAUUUUUUUAAAUUGCUCCCUUAUAAUAUUUUCCCCAAUAUAAGGAAAAAUAUGUUAACCUUGUUUCAUUUAAUUGUUUCAACAUAUUUUUUCUUUUAUUGGGGAAUCGUUCAGAGUGAACCAAAACUAUCCUCAGAUAUUUUUUAAUUGCUGCCUUAUAAUUUUUUCACUCUAAACGAUUUCCUAGUAAUGAAAAAAUUUCAAUUGUAUAAUUAUAUUUUGUUCACUCUUAACGAUUGCUCAAUAAGAGAAAAAAUAUGUUUAAACAAUUAAAUCAACUAAGGUUAACAUAUUUGUUCUUUCAUUGCUGAAUCGUUUAAAGUGAUCAAAAUAUAAUGAUACAAUUAAAAUUUUUCCCAAUAAAGGAAAAAAUAUGUUUAAACAAUUAAAUUAACUAACGUCUACAUAUUUCUUAUUUUUUUGGGGAAUCGUUUAAAGUGAACAAAAUAUAAGAAUAAAAUUAAAAUUUUUCCUUUACUAUGGAAUCGUUCAAGUGAAAAAAUCAUAAAGCUGCAAUUAAAGAAAAAUGCGAAUAGUUUUUGUUCGCGCUUAACGAUUCCCCAAUAAAAAAAACAUAUCUCAACAAUUACUAAGUUUAAUAUACCUAUUUCU